UACCUUGACAUCAAAACUAUUUUAAUUUUUAUCAACAGUGUUCAUAUCGAUCAUACAAAAUGGAUAUUUUAGGACUGAUAGACAUAAACGGAUGGAUUUUGGCUGUGAUUUUUCUUUGUCUUACAAUUAUUAAUAUAUUCUUCCAUUUCAGAUCUAAGCAUACAGUAUGGAGUCGAGCAGGAGUUCCAGGUCCAAAAUCGAAACCGUUUGUCGGAAUAACUCCAUUGUAUAGAGCUAAAGGAAUGAUACAAACUGAUCUGGACCUAGUGAAGAAGUACGGCAGAUGUUUUGGGUAAGUUAAAUCA